rnacentral:piRNA from 1 species
UUCCUUCCUGUAGAAUUUCCGGUCUGGUC